rnacentral:tRNA from 1 species
CGCCUCUUAGCUCAGAUGGAAGAGCACCGCGCUCUGAACGCGGAGGUCCGCGGUUCGAGGCCGCGAGAGGCAGCCA